rnacentral:rRNA from 1 species
ACUAGGAAUUUUGCGCAAUGGGGGCAACCCUGACGCAGCGACACAGCGUGGAGGAGGAAGGUCUUCGGAUUGUAAACUCCUUUUAUAUGGGAAGAAUAGAUGACUGUACCAUAUGAAUAAGCACCUGCUAACUACGUGCCAGAAGCAUCGGUGAUGCGUAGGGUGCGAACGUUAUCCGGAUUUAUUGGGCGUAAAGAGAUGCGUAGGCGUUUCAGUUAGUCUUUCGUUAAAAGUCACGGCUUAACCGUGAAGAUGCGUUGGAUACUGCUGAAAUUGAGACAGGAAUGGGUGAACGGAACUCCAAGUGGAGCGGUGAAAUGCGUUGAUAUUUGGAAGAACAUCAGAGGCGAAGGCGGUUCACUGGUCAUUGUCUGACGCUAAGGCUCGAAAGCGUGGGUAGCAAAACGGAUUAGAUACCCCAGUAGUCC